GUCAAGUCAUCAUGGCCUUUAUGCCCAGGGCUACACACGUGCUACAAUGGGGAGGACAAAGGGCUGCCACUUGGCGACAAGGAGCUAAUCCCAAAAACCUCUUCUCAGUUCAGAUUGCAGUCUGCAACUCGACUGCAUGAAGCUGGAAUCGCUAGUAAUCGCGUAUCAGCCAUGACGCGGUGAAUAUGUUCCUGAGCCUU
rnacentral:rRNA from 1 species